AUACAAUCCCUCUCCUUUCAGCUUGAAAGAAAGCAAAGAAAAUGGAAAUACGGUAGCAUGAAGGAAGGAAAGAGUGAAGAUAAUGAAGAAAUCCCCUUAAAAAGGAGUUGCUCCAGUCCUCAUCAGCUACCGGGACGUGUCAAGCCAUAGAAAGUGAAGUUUCACAAACCAUCCUUCCCCAUAAACGAUAGGCUCCACCCCUACGUGGGGCUUGAACUCACAACCCUGAGAUCAAGAGUCAGAUGCUCUACCAACUGAGCCUCCCAGGUGUCCCUGAAAUUUUAGAGCACAUUAUUCAUUACUGUAUUAAUAUUACUAUAAUGGUAAUAAAAUGGGAAGCUGUUAAACACAUAUCCAUCUUUCCAACAGUGUUGUCCUAAGUCCAGGAGGAAGCUUUCAAAACAGGAGCCUGGCCAAUUGCAAACCUUUCUCUGGACUUACUCUCCUCACCCCAGACCCAGCUACUAAGGAAGCCAGUUUUGGAACAUGGAAAGAUGGAUUGGAUGCAGUUAGGAGCCCUGAUCUCAUCUUGAUGUCAGACAGGAAGUAACAGCUAUAUGCCAAAGGCAGAGAUGUCCCAGACACUCCUAACAAGCUGGAGCUGGAUGGAAGGACCAGUCCGACAAACUUUCUUGGCUCUAAAAGAUUUUAAAAUUUUCCUCCAAAAUAAAGUUACAGAUAAAUGAAAGAACUGGAGAGUAAUUUGUGCUGAUGUGCACAGAGCCACUUUACCCCACACUACCUCAGAGCACACUGGGGAUGUCAGCAGGGCGCUUAUCCUCCUUUGAGCAAGUUACCUCCUUCAGAGGGAUGCCAGGAGGAAAAGCAGAGGCACGUGCUAUAAGGAAGGAGUGAGUGCUGAAUGCAUCCUGGCAAGUAGGUAACCCUUGGAACUGAAUGUUCUCACCCAGGUCCUUUAGCAAUAAAUGUAUUCUACUUCUGA